rnacentral:rRNA from 1 species
UACGGGGGGGGCAAGCGUUGUUCGGAAUUACUGGGCGUAAAGGGCUCGUAGGCGGCCAACUAAGUCGGACGUGAAAUCCCCAGGCUCAACCUGGGAACUGCGUCCGAUACUGGAUGGCUUGAAUUCGGGAGAGGGAUGCAGAAUUCCAGGUGUAGCGGUGAAAUGCGUAGAUAUCAGGAGGAACACCGGUGGCGAAGGCGGGUCUCUGGGCCGAUACUGACGCUGAGGAGCGAAAGUGUGGGGAGCGAACAGG